rnacentral:rRNA from 1 species
UACGUAGGAUGCAAGCGUUGUCCGGAUUUAUUGGGUUUAAAGGGUGCGUAGGCGGCCUAUUAAGUUAGUGGUGAAAACGUUAGGCUUAACCGGAUACCCGCCAUUGAUACUGAUAGACUUGAGUGCGGCAGAGGGUGUUGGAAUGUGUGGUGUAGCGGUGAAAUGCUUAGAUAUCACGCAGAACACCAAUUGCGAAGGCAGAUGCCUAUGUCGUAACUGACGCUGAGGCGCGAAAGCGUGGGGAGCAAACAGG